rnacentral:rRNA from 1 species
GCAUCGCGACCCCAGGUCAGGCGGGAUU